rnacentral:snRNA from 1 species
GCUACUCAGGCGGAACAUAUACUAAAAUUGGAACGAUACAGAGAAGAUUAGCAUGGCCCCUGCGCAAGGAUGAAUAAAAGAUAGAUAUUAAAUGUUGUU